rnacentral:rRNA from 1 species
AACGAACGCUGGCGGCGUGCCUAACACAUGCAAGUCGAACGAGAAAGGGGCUUCGGCUCCGAGUAAAGUGGCGCACGGGUGAGUAACACGUGGGUAACCUGCCUCUAAGAUUGGGAUAACUCGUCGAAAGAUGAGCUAAUACCGAAUAAGACCACAGUUCCCGCGGGAACAGGGGUCAAAGGUAGCCUCUGCUUGCAAGCUAUCACUUAGAGAUGGGCCUGCGCACCAUUAGCUAGUUGGUAGGGUAACGGCCUACCAAGGCAAAGAUGGUUAGCUGGUCUGAGAGGAUGAUCAGCCACCCUGGAACUGAGACACGGUCCAGACUCCUACGGGAGGCAGCAGUGGGGAAUAUUGCGCAAUGGGCGAAAGCUUGACGCAGCAACGCCGCGUGAGUGAUGAAGGCCUUCGGGUCGUAAAGCUCUGUCGGGAGGAACGAAUGCUCCUGAGGUUAACAGCCUCGGGAGGUGACGGUACCUUCAAAGGAAGCACCGGCUAACUCUGUG